CCUGACUGGACUCACGGGAUUGGUACCCAGAGAGCGUCUGUCUGUCCUAGCGGUCAAGGCUUUUCUGCGACAAAUUCUAAAUACGCAUCGCGGCCAAAUCUGUCCAAGGCUCAGGAGCCACGCUGGAGUUAGUUUGAGUCUUGGCAAUGGUUUAUAUUGUAGCCAAAUCAUGGAAGGAGCCGAGAUGCCCUUCAACAGAUGACUGGAUUAAGAAGCUGU